rnacentral:lncRNA from 1 species
GCAGGCUGGGUUUCUCGUUAGCGUCAGGCUUCUGCACUUACUCAGUCCUCCCAAAUUCUUUUUCACUGAACAUUGCUCAAGUGCUUUUACAGUGGCAGCAUAUCAAUUUUUGGGGUCUUUUUUUUUUUUGUAAGGAAACCUAACAUAUAGUGACUUACACUGGCAAACAGAGACCAAUUAAGACCUUUGCUUUCAUAACACUUCAGUUUC